rnacentral:misc_RNA from 1 species
CACCGACCAAGCAGGGCAGAGAGGAU